rnacentral:lncRNA from 1 species
GCUCCAGGCGGAGCCGCGCUCCCCUGCGGCCGCCGCGGCGGAGCUCCGCGCCUCGCACCGCCCCCGCGCAGCGCUCGGCUCGGCUGCAGCCGCAGCCGGGGUGUGGGGCGGCGGGAGCGGGCGGCGGGCCCAGCGCCGCCGGGGGGAGAGGCGGCCCCGGGGGAGGGGGGCUGCCCGGGGGCAGAAGGGAGGCGGCAGGGAGCCGGGCGCGGGCCCGCUGAUGGAUGCGGCGGCUCCGGGCCGGGUAGAAGUGUCGGGGUGUCCCGGAACCCUCGGGUCCGCGGGAGGGCUGUUGCGUUGGGCAGGAGACGGACGGAGCCGAAGAGUGGAAGUGUGUUCAGGAGUAACGUUAGCUGAAGGAGAACAGCACGUAUCCCUGCGAGAAACGAACGGGCUCCUCUGUCGUGCUGAGCACUGUCCAGAGCUUUUCAUAGAAGAUUAAUUCCUGCUGAUUUAGACUGAAUAAAUUGAGUCUGCCUUUGAUUGCAUUACGGCCUGGAUGACAGUAGGUCCGAACCCAAGCAAGGCCUCAGAGGACCUCUCCCUGGACUCGUGCUUAAUUCUACACAGCCACUCACUCACUGCCAUCUUUGAGGAAAGCAAGAGAGAACUGGAAAGAAAAGGUGUAUGGAUUAGUUGGAUGAACCUGUCAGUGGAUAAGGAGUGGAUGGCCACAUUCAAAGAGCUGUGGUACACAGCCCGAUGUUCAGCUGGAGAACAAAGAAGACUGAUGUCCUUCAAGAGCUGUUACUGGGACAGGUAUCAUUUAAUAUCUGUAUUGGAGACGUGGACAGUGGUCUCAGGUUCACCCUCAGCAGGUCUGGGGUUGACACUAAGCUGCGUGGUGCGGUCAGCAUGCUGGAGGGAAGUGAUGCCCCUAUGAGGGACCUGAGGAGGCUGAAGAAGUGGGCCUGUGUGAACCUCAUGAAGUUAACAAGGCCAACUGCAAGGUCUUGCACUUGGGUUGGGGCAAUCCCAAGCAUGAAGACAGGUUGAGUGGAGAAUGGAUUAAGCUCAGACACGCAGUGAAGGAUUUAGGUGUGUUGUUGGACAAAAACAGAAUGUUUCUGAAUUCUGAAUGAUGAAUGAAUACGUUUGUCCAACAGUUAAUUCCUUCAAUUCAAGCAUCAGGUCCAGUUUUCAUUUACUUUUGUCUUCCAUGAGCUUCUAGUCAUUGAGUUUCUGUAAUGUUUUUGGUCUUCUUCCUCUCAGUUUCUGUAUAUUGAGAAUUUCAAACUACUUCUUACCUUUUUUCUUCUUUAUGUAAGAAUAGACUGAGUUUAUCAUUUUAAAAGUAACACAGGUUUUCAUAACCUUCUUCUGCUAUCUUUCAAAUUUACCAGUAUUAUGUUUUUAAAUGAAGAUAUUCAUGGUCUUUCACAAGUAGUCCCAUCAUCUCCAGACAGUAGGAAGAUCACCUUCUUAAUUGCUACUGCCAGAGCCAUAGCAAGAACACAAAUACAGUUUGCAUUUGCCCAGUUUGCUGCUGCAGCACUGUGUUGGUAUUACACAUUUAGUUGAUUUAUCACUUUAAUGACUGAUUUUUUUCUUUUUCAGAGUAAUUUCAUCACCUUAAUGAAAAGGAAGAUGACCUUUUAAAAUAAUUACAUCCAAUAACAACUCAAUUUUAGUGUGAUAAAUGCUCUUUGCUCCUUAAUUUGUAUUAUUUGAUUUGUAGCAAUGCAAUAGCAGGAUAACUAAAUUUCAGCUAAUCCCCAAUGAAUAUCAUUCAAAGAGUGAAAAAAAUAUAUUUUCAAAUACCUGGAACAAGAUGUCAGUGCACACAACUCUGUCCUCUACAGCAGUGGACAGAUCUUCUUCCUAACCCUAAGUAAUUAUGGGCACAGAAUUUAAAGAAAUCUAUAUGCAGACAUCCGUAUGCAAUCCUUUCCGCAUUAUCUGGGAAUUACUGUUUUCUUACCUUCUGGGAAGUGUCUGUGUGGAGACCCUUUAUUUUACCCGUUCAUUGCAGCCCAUUGCUGCUGUCUGUGCAGGUUACGCCCAAAUGAAGGCUUGCAAAGUCUUCCAUACACUAGUACUUAGCAGGCACUUCUACCAAAACAGCCUCAGGUGGAUGUUUUUCUACUAAAGUCAAAGUGUCAGAGGGCACACAAUGCUUUUCACUAAGAUAUCUUGUCUCUAGACAGCGCACAUCUGUUCUCUGAACAGUAUGUUCAUGAAUGAACUGGAGUAGAGAGUGAGCUCUGAGGUGAUUAAAGUCUUCUGAUGAUACAGUGUUAUUCAAAGCAAAAAAGACAGGAGCUUACCAUGAAAAACUACAUAGAGAUCUUACAAGACUGAGUGACGGGGCAAUAAAAUGAAAGAUAAAAUUCAGUGUAGAUAAAUG